CCUACGGGGCGCAGCAGUGAGGAAUAUUGGUCAAUGGACGAGAGUCUGAACCAGCCAAGUAGCGUGAAGGAUGACUGCCCUAGGGGUUGUAAACUUCUUUUAUAUGGGAAUAAAACGUUCCACGUGUGUGAUUUUGUAUGUACCAUAUGAAUAAGGAUCGGCUAACUCCGUGCCAGCAGCCGCGGUAAUACGGAGGAUCCGAGCGUUAUCCGGAUUUAUUGGGUUUAAAGGGAGCGUAGGUGGAUUGUUAAGUCAGUUGUGAAAGUUUGCGUCUCAACCGUAAAAUUGCAGUUGAAACUGGCAGUCUGGAGUACAGUAGAGGUGGGCGGAAUUCGUGGUGUAGCGGUGAAAUGCUUAGAUAUCACGAAGAACUCCGAUUGCGAAGGCAGUUCACUGGACUGCAACUGACACUGAGGCUCGAAAGUGUGGGUAUCAAACAGGAUUAGAUACCCGGGUAGUC
rnacentral:rRNA from 1 species